rnacentral:misc_RNA from 1 species
AACCUAGCACACCUGCGGUGUGUACCUGCGGAAGGAUCAUUACCUAGAGUUGUAGGCUUUGCCUGCUAUCUCUUACCCAUGUCUUCUGAGUACCUUACGUUUCCUCGGUGGGCUCGCCCACCGAUUGGACAAAUUUAAACCCUUUGCAGUUGAAAUCAGCGUCUGAAAAAACUUAAUAGUUACAACUUUUAACAAUGGAUCU